rnacentral:rRNA from 1 species
AGACCCGAAACCCGGUGAUCUAGCCAUGGGCAGGUUGAAGGUUGGGUAACACUAACUGGAGGACCGAACCGACUAAUGUUGAAAAAUUAGCGGAUGACUUGUGGCUGGGGGUGAAAGGCCAAUCAAACCGGGAGAUAGCUGGUUCUCCCCGAAAGCUAUUUAGGUAGCGCCUCGUGAAUUCAUCUCCGGGGGUAGAGCACUGUUUCGGCAAGGGGGUCAUCCCGACUUACCAACCCGAUGCAAACUGCGAAUACCGGAGAAUGUUAUCACGGGAGACACACGGCGGGUGCUAACGUCCGUCGUGAAGAGGGAAACAACCCAGACCGCCAGCUAAGGUCCCAAAGUCAUGGUUAAGUGGGAAACGAUGUGGGAAGGCCCAGACAGCCAGGAUGUUGGCUUAGAAGCAGCCAUCAUUUAAAGAAAGCGUAAUAGCUCACUGGUCGAGUCGGCCUGCGCGGAAGAUGUAACGGGGCUAAACCAUGCACCGAAGCUGCGGCAGCGACACUGUGUGUUGUUGGGUAGGGGAGCGUUCUGUAAGCCUGUGAAGGUGUGCUGUGAGGCAUGCUGGAGGUAUCAGAAGUGCGAAUGCUGACAUAAGUAACGAUAAAGCGGGUGAAAAGCCCGCUCGCCGGAAGACCAAGGGUUCCUGUCCAACGUUAAUCGGGGCAGGGUGAGUCGACCCCUAAGGCGAGGCCGAAAGGCGUAGUCGAUGGGAAACAGGUUAAUAUUCCUGUACUUGGUGUUACUGCGAAGGGGGGACGGAGAAGGCUAUGUUGGCCGGGCGACGGUUGUCCCGGUUUAAGCGUGUAGGCUGGUUUUCCAGGCAAAUCCGGAAAAUCAAGGCUGAGGCGUGAUGACGAGGCACUACGGUGCUGAAGCAACAAAUGCCCUGCUUCCAGGAAAAGCCUCUAAGCAUCAGGUAACAUCAAAUCGUACCCCAAACCGACACAGGUGGUCAGGUAGAGAAUACCAAGGCGCUUGAGAGAACUCGGGUGAAGGAACUAGGCAAAAUGGUGCCGUAACUUCGGGAGAAGGCACGCUGAUAUGUAGGUGAAGUCCCUCGCGGAUGGAGCUGAAAUCAGUCGAAGAUACCAGCUGGCUGCAACUGUUUAUUAAAAACACAGCACUGUGCAAACACGAAAGUGGACGUAUACGGUGUGACGCCUGCCCGGUGCCGGAAGGUUAAUUGAUGGGGUCAGCGCAAGCGAAGCUCUUGAUCGAAGCCCCGGUAAACGGCGGCCGUAACUAUAACGGUCCUAAGGUAGCGAAAUUCCUUGUCGGGUAAGUUCCGACCUGCACGAAUGGCGUAAUGAUGGCCAGGCUGUCUCCACCCGAGACUCAGUGAAAUUGAACUCGCUGUGAAGAUGCAGUGUACCCGCGGCAAGACGGAAAGACCCCGUGAACCUUUACUAUAGCUUGACACUGAACAUUGAGCCUUGAUGUGUAGGAUAGGUGGGAGGCUUUGA